GUUGAACGCUGGCGGCAGGCCUAACACAUGCAAGUCGAACGAGUGGCGGACGGGUGAGUAAUGUCUGGGAAACUGCCUGAUGGAGGGGAUAACUACGGGAAACGGUUGCUAAUACCGCAUACCAGCAGUUGUGCCCGGAUGGGAUUAGCUUGCUGGUGGGGUAACGGCUCACCAAGGCGACGAUCCCUAGCUGGGCUGAGAGGAUGACCAGCCACACUGGAACUGAGACACGGCCCAGACUCCUACGGGAGGCAGCAGUGGGGAAUAUUGCACAAUGGGCGCAAGCCUGAUGCAGCCAUGCCGCGUGUAUGAAGAAGGCCUUCGGGUUGUAAAGUACUUUCAGCGGGGAGGCGUUACCCGCAGAAGAAGCACCGGCUAACUCCGUGCCAGCAGCCGCGGUAAUAC
rnacentral:rRNA from 1 species